rnacentral:rRNA from 1 species
UAGGCUCAGGAUGAACGCUAGCGACAGGCCUAACACAUGCAAGUCGAGGGGCAGCACAAGGAGCAAUCUGAGGUGGCGACCGGCGCACGGGUGAGUAACACGUAUGCAACCUGCCUGUAAGCGGGGAAUAACCCGUUGAAAGACGGACUAAUACCGCAUAAUACUAAAUUACUGCAUGGUAAUUUAUUUAAACAUUUAUGGCUUACAGAUGGGCAUGCGCAUGAUUAGCUAGUUGGAGAGGUAACGGCUCCCCAAGGCAACGAUCAUUAGGGGUUCUGAGAGGAAGGUCCCCCCACACUGGUACUGAGACACGGACCAGACUCCUACGGGAGGCAGCAGUGAGGAAUAUUGGUCAAUGGACGAGAGUCUGAACCAGCCAAGUCGCGUGCAGGAAGAAUUGUCCUAUGGAUUGUAAAUUGCUUUUGCAGGGGAAUAAAGUGCAUCACGUGUGAUGUUUUGUAUGUACUCUGCGAAUAAGGAUCGGCUAACUCCGUGCCAGCCGCCGC